rnacentral:rRNA from 1 species
CAGCAGCCACGGUAAUACGAAGGGUGCAAACGUUAAUCGGAAUUACUGGGCGUAAAGCGUGCGUAGGCGGUGAGUUAAGUCUGCUGUGAAAUCCCCGGGCUCAACCUGGGAAUGGCAGUGGAUACUGGCUCGCUAGAGUGUGUCAGAGGAUGGUGGAAUUCCCGGUGUAGCGGUGAAAUGCGUAGAGAUCGGGAGGAACAUCAGUGGCGAAGGCGGCCAUCUGGGACAACACUGACGCUGAGGCACGAAAGCGUGGGGAGCAAACAGGAUUAGAUACCCCAGUAGUCCCUGUCUCUUAUAC